GUGCGUGAGGAAGGCGCGGUGGUGUGUGUAGAGGCUUCAGGUUUGGAGGUGCAUGAUCCGAAGUUGCAGGGCCCGACCUAGGUUUUAGCGGGCCUGCGGUGGGGGUCCUUGCUGUGUGCCUCGACUGCGGAAGGGGUUCAGGAUUAUGGCAUGACCAGAAUAAGUUCAUGAAGUAUGCUCAAGCUUUUCUGCUGCUUUGCAAGGUCUAUGCCGAAAUUUCUUCCGCGACUGGAAGCAGACAGAAUUAUUGCCAGCUGAGAUGCAUCUUAAAAGCUCCUUAAAACAGAAUUUCAGAGUUGAUAUUGUUAUCAAUUGACCGGUCAAGUUCACCAGUUCCCAAUUGCGGAAGGUACCCACAGAUUCGGACUUCACUGCUGGAUUCAAGUACAAGGAGGAAAACCUACUCCGUAUCCAAUCCUAACUGACCUAGGGCAACCCCAACUGACCGAGGACACUUACAUAUACCCCUCUUACGCCUUAGGACUCUAAACCCAUGAAACCAUAUCUCCCUGAGUUGUCCAAAGUCACCACCAAAGUUGAUCUCACGAGUUUCCCGAGACAGAAGAAAGCUGCUUGGUAUUCUCUGUUUUGGCAACUCGAGUAUCUACUUGACUAUCCCACCAAUGAAGUGCUACAGGAUUGAGUCUAUUCAUGCCUACAAUAUUUCAUGAUGACUUGACGGGGUAAACUUCCAUGCCGAUUGAAGAACUAAGACCCUAUUCAGGCAAGUUUCCCUGCGGUUUGUAAUCGGCUUCUAUCUUUUGAUUCACCAUAAAACCUCAAUCUGAUCUAUAAGAUAUCAUCAAACUGUUCAUAAAAUUUCUCUCGGAUACGUGCAGCCAAUCUCCAUCACCAACGCCGUCUUUGAGCUGUGGUUUCUGAUGUCCGAAUCUGCCUAGAUUUUCAUCUGUCUCGCGAGGAGCCUAGUAGUCGACUCGACACGCCAAUUUUCAAACCCGCUGGUCAGAAUUCAGCCCUAGAUGCGUACUUUCUAGCAUAAUUUAUGGGAUCUAUGAGCUAGCCACACCACUUGCAUCUUGAACAGUUGUUCAACAUUUUGUUUUUGUUGUUUUGUCUAGCUUGUGUAAACCAUCCAAGUUACUUUAAUUUUCCACGUUAGAAUUUACAUGAGUUGACAAAACAGAAAACAAAAUUAUGAACAACUUAGAUGCAAUUGGUGUGGCUAGCUCAUAGAUCGGAAUCAAGAUCCAUAAAUUAGGCUACAGAGUCAGACUUCUAGGCUCCUCGCAAGACGGAUGAAAAUCUGGGCAGAUUCAGACAUCAGAAACAACUUGAAAAUGAUGUUGGUGACGGAGAUUGGCUGCACCAAUUGGAGAGGAGUUUUAGGGAGAGUUUGAUGAUAUCAUGUAGAUCAUAUUAAAUUAAAGAGGUUUUAUGGUGCAACAAAUCACUAAACUAAAAGAUAUAAGUCAAUUACAAGCGAAGGUUUGUGAUCACAGGGAAACUUUAACAAGGUCUCAGUGCUUUGAUCGGCACGGAAGUGUGCACCGUUGGAUCAUUGUGAAAUUUUGCUGGCGUGAAUAAGACUAUCCCGCAACACUUUACCGGUGAAAUCAUCGAGUAGAUGCUCGAGUCGCCGAAAACAGAGAGAAUAUUGAGCAGUUUUCUGCCGUCUCGCGAAACUCGCGGGAUUAAUGUUGGCAGUGACUUUGGACGGCUCGGGAGAUAUAGUUUCAUGGUUUUAGUGUCUUGGGUGUAGGAGGGGUAUAUGUAGGCGUCUUCGUUGGUUAGGGUUGCCCUAGGUUGGAUAGGAUUGGAUACGGGGUAGGUUUCCUCCUUGUACUCAAAUCCAACACGGUGGAGUCCGAAUUUGAAAUGACUGGGUUUGGUUUAGCUCACCCAAGAGAAGCUUCCGGAGCUAAGGAGACGUCUUGGAACAGGGGUAAGGAGGUUUGGGCUGGUUUGAGGCGUUGGUUUCUUGUUCGAGUUCGAUUCGGAGUAGGUUUGGAUCAUGGGAUUAGAUGAAAUUUGAUAAGUGGGCUGUAUUGUGACUAGAAGAUGGACAUGAGCCGGUCAAAUAUAGCGCAAGUACUAGUGCACUCUCACUUGACAUGACUCAGUGUAAAGAAAAUACAGUAGAUAAAAUAAAUUGCCCAAUCAUUUUAUUUUAUUCUAGGCGAAAAUAUUUCCUACCUUUAAACAGUAACAACUACUUUGCUAGAGUUGAAAUGUGGUAUGUUAUGUUACAUAACAGGUUCAAGGCUUCAAAGCUGAUGCUGGAGAUACGUGGUACAAGACUUCUGACCACGGAAACUAAUUAGCCAAUAGUGUAGGUGUAAGAACAAUACGUCUUCCUGGUACAGUUCGUGAAGGUCACUAGUAGCGAUAACGAGUCGAAGAACUUAACUUGAUAUAUCCCUUUUGUAAUGAAAAAAAUGUCAACAAUCUUCCAAUGUUAUGUUGGUCUAUUUAUAUAAAAACAUCUGAAUUCUAUCA